UACGGAGGAUGCGGGCGUUAUCCGGAUUUAUUGGGUUUAAAGGGUGCGUAGGCGGAUCGUUAAGUCAGUGGUCAAAUUGAGGGGCUCAACCCCUUCCCGCCAUUGAAACUGGCGAUCUUGAGUGGAAGAGAAGUAUGCGGAAUGCGUGGUGUAGCGGUGAAAUGCAUAGAUAUCACGCAGAACCCCGAUUGCGAAGGCAGCAUGCCGGCUUCCUACUGACGCUGAAGCACGAAAGCGUGGGGAUCGAACAGG
rnacentral:rRNA from 1 species